rnacentral:rRNA from 1 species
GACGAACGCUGGCGGCGUGCUUAACACAUGCAAGUCGAACGGAAAGGCCCUGCUUUUGUUGGGUGCUCGAGUGGCGAACGGGUGAGUAACACGUGAGUAACCUGCCCUUGACUUUGGGAUAACUUCAGGAAACUGGGGCUAAUACCGGAUAGGAGCUCCUGCUGCAUGGUGUGGGUUGGAAAGUUUCGGCGGUUGGGUAUGGACUCGCGGCUUAUCAGCUUGUUGGUGGGGUAGUGGCUUACCAAGGCUUUGACGGGUAGCCGGUCUGAGAGGGUGACCGGCCACAUUGGGACUGGGAUACGGCCCAGACUCCUACGGGAGGAAGAAGUGGGGAAUAUUGCACAAUGGGCGGAAGCCUGAUGAAGCAACGCCGCGUGCGGGAUGACGGCCUUCGGGUUGUAAACCGCUUUCGCCUGUGACGAAGCGUGAGUGACGGUAAUGGGUAAAGAAGCACCGGCUAACUACGUG